CAAAAUGCCACUUUUGCCCAUUGCUUCCACGCGUCUAUCAUCGAUGAAUCCUCUAUUUGCUUCCUUAUUUUGUUUGACUGUUGUUCUCCCUGUCUACCCAUCUAUAUCUGUUGGGAAAACAAAAAAAUUAUUAAAAAAAAAAUGAUUAAAACAGGGCCAUGUGGUUUGUGGCACAACUAACAAUAAAAAUUUAUAUCUUCUUAAUUUUUUAAACCCAUGAAUAGUUAUUGGGAGAACAAAAAAAAUAUGAUUAAAGCAGGGCCACUAGCUUUGUGGCACAACUAACAAUAAAAAUUUAUACCUUUUUAAUUUUUUCAACCCAGGUAUACUGUUCACAGACAGUAAAGUGGCAAAAAUGCCCCUCGGUUUUUGCUCUGUUUCUCUUGCUGUUUCCAUAUUUGUAUAGUCGAUUGACUGUUUUACCCAUUCACUGCAUGCGUCCAUCAUCCAGUCACCCUCUAUUUCGGCUGUGUCUUCUCGAAUUGUCUGUUUGCUUCCUUAUUUUGUUUGACUGUUGCUCUCCUCCCUGUCUACCCGUCUAUAUCUGUUGGGAAAACAAAAAAAUUAUUAAAAAAAUGUGAUUAAAACAGGGCCAUGUGAUUUGUGGCACAACUAUAUGUAUAGCUAUUGGGAAAACAAAAAAAUAUUAAAAAAAUAUUAAAAAAAUAUUAAAAAAACAGGAUCACUUUCUGUUUGCUUUCCUAUUUUGUUUGACUGUUGCUCUCCUCCCUGUCUACUCGUCUAUAUCUGUUGGGAAAACAAAAAAAUUAUUAAAAAAAUGUGAUUAAAACAGGGCCAUGUGAUUUGUGGCACAACUAACAAUAAAAAAUUAUUUCUUAACUUUUUAAAUUUAUGUAUAGCUAUUGGGAGAACAAAAAAAAUAUUAAAAAAAUAAGAUUAAAACAGGAUCACGUAGUUUGUGGCACAACUAACAAUAAAAAUUUAUACCUUCUUAAUUUUUUUAACCCAUAUAUGACUGGUAAGAAGAUAGAAAAAAUAUUAAAAAAUGUGAUACACAGUGAAUUUAACGGGGCUUCUCUCAUACCACGUGUUGGUCAUCGUGAGGUUUGCUUCUUACCGUAUACCCACCCUGCUUUUUGUUCCGGUUCCCAUACCCAUUUCUGCUUUUCCAUCGUUUUCGGACCCUGAUCUCGAACCUGUACACCAGCGGUGUAAUGGCUUAAAUGCCCCUUGGUGUGUUCUUUGUUUUUCUUUUGUUUUUCUUUAUUCUCUAUUUCUCAGUACAGUGGAAGGACGGGAUUGCCCCAUCCAUGUGUUGAUCAUUGUCAAUUGGUUCUUUAGGCUUCUCUAUUUCAUCGUUUCUUUUCGUCUUUUAAUUCCCGUUUGGUCUUCUUUGUCCCUCUCAAACCUUUUUUUCUUUCACUCACCGUUUUCUCCUUUCGUUGUUGACGAAUCUGUGUUUUGUCGCUGUCCGCUGUUGUCUCAUGCUGUUCAGAAAAUUUUGCUUCAUCAAAGAUAUCAAACUCUGAUAAAUGGAAAGCGUGCGCCCAACUCCUGUUAAUCAAUUAAGACCAUACACAAAGGAGGACAAAAUCAGAAUUCGGAUAUGCAGGAUUUGGAAAUCGACGAUUCCAGGGACUGUUCAAAAGUACACAAACCUGCACUGUAUAUUGGUUGACGAACUGGUGAGAAAUAACUGUCUAAUUAUUUUACCCAAAGCUCGAAUCAACAACUAUUAACUCACUGGAUAAUGUUUAUGCUGCCAUGGUUUUUUACAUGUUAGAAGGUUACACUUAGAUAUGUUAUGAUCAGCAAAAUGUGUACAUCACCUAUGUUUUCCUCAAUUUUUGCCUUUCUUUACUUAUAUGUACCAUGUGGUGUUUUCUGUUGUAAACUUUUAUGUGUUGAUGGAAUUUUUUUUUAGAUUUUGUUCCAAAUAAUUUAAUUGCGUUCAUUCGUUGUAUUUACUCAUGGUAACAAUUUGAUUCAUCUCAUAUUGUAUGUGUUGUCGAGUGUAUAAUUUGUGUUUUCAUUUAUUUGUUAAUUGAUUUUUUGACUUUUUUUUUCCUCUUUUUUAAUACGAUGUGAAGCAACAUGCAGUUGAGGCCUCUACAUUCGAUGUUGAUUAUGAUGUCAUGGCUUCAAAAAUUGAAGCUGGUGCAUGCUAUGAAAUCACAGAAUUUCGAACUAUUAAAAUUAGGGGACAAUACAAGGUGGUGCCUCAUGAAACUCAGGUUUUGUUGACCUCGAAGACAGCUUUCCGAAAAUUAGCAAGUGUGUUUCCACCCAUCCCUCACCAUCGAUUUUUCCUCCAAGAUUAUAACAAGCUCUACCCUCGCUUAAACAAAGUUGACAUCCUCACAGGUAUUGUUAAUGUCUAUGUGUAUAUGCGUGGCUUAAAGUGUGUGUUUACUUCCUAAAAUGGAGUUUAAUAAUGUGCAUGUGUUUCUUUUUUGAAUGAUAAGAUGUCAUUGGUCGUAUAAGUGCUCUGCAGCAGCUGGAACCUAAACAGAUUAAUCAAAGGGUUGUGCACAAGUGUGAUGUGGUUAUCCAAAAUAUUAGAAAAGAGGAACUAACAGUAACGUUGUGGGCAGACAUUGCUGAAGCUUUUUCUUCUUCGUCAGCAGAGGGAUUUUCUUUUGUUGCAUAAUCCUCAGUUUCGAUUCUUUCAUUGCAUAUAUUUGAUUACCCAAUGUAUAUUCAACCGGUUUAAUCUUUAAAUUGUUUAAUGUUAA